rnacentral:rRNA from 1 species
UACGGGGGGGGCAAGCGUUGUUCGGAAUUACUGGGCGUAAAGGGCGCGUAGGCGGCACGGCAAGUCAGGAGUGAAAGGCCUGGGCUCAACCGAGGAACUGCUUUUGAGACUGCCGAGCUAGAGUGCAGAAGGGGCAACUGGAAUUCCCAGUGUAGCGGUGAGAUGCGUAGAUAUUGGGAAGAACACCUGAGGCGAAGGCGGGUUGCUGGGCUGACACUGACGCUGAGGCGCGAAAGCCAGGGGAGCAAACGGG